CGGGUAGUUUCUUUUAUAAAUUUCAUCUAUCGUCCAUCAUCCCUUCCAUCACAAGAAAACCCACUGAUCAAGCUAUUUACAGAGCUCGUCCUCCGCUUCUUGUCGGUGUGAAAAAUCUCCACUGGUCUUCGUGCUCACAGAUCAAGCUUCGUGGCGUCGUCUACUUCUCCAGCUCAUGGUCUUUGUUCUCACAGAAGCUUUGUGGUUUGGUCUUCUUCUCCAUUUUUACUUCGCACCGAGGUCUUCAAGUGGAUCUCUGCGGGUAUUUUCGUGGUUCACGAACUCCAUGUGGGUCAUCUUGCAAGAGGCCGUAAGCAGCCGCUGAGCUGGUUUUCUUCUUCAUGUGAGUAUUUUUGUGGGUAUUUUCUACUGGUUCAUCUUUGUGGGGGUGUGGCUCAUCUUCGCAUAAGAAAAACUCUGAAGGAUUGCUGAAGAAGGAUUGUACGUAGAAGGAUUGCUGAAGAAAAACCAGUAUUUUCUACUGGUUCAUCUUCGCGCGGUUCAUCUUCAUGGUGAGGACUUACGAACAUAGUGAAAAUGGUUAUAAGCUUCGUAGUCUUCAGAAAUGACGAAAGGUUAACUUAGUUAAAACGGGGCGUAGUAAUUUUUGACACAUCAGCAGAGCCGUGUGUGCGCCGUUUGCGUUAGGCGACUGCAUUUAGAGUUUUUCAUCCUGCAGCAGUGUACUCCACAAUAUAACUUCGGCCCACUGACGUCGUCGCUGUCGGGAGUGAACAUGGCAGGGGCGAGUUGGGGAGAGAGAGUCGCAGACAAGGUGUUCUCUCUCUAUAACUCUCUCCCAAAGAAAGGAAAGCCUCAGGGCCGUGAAGUUACCGUCUUGGCCGCUUUUCUCCUCUCUUCUCCUUCUCAAGAGCCGGAAGUUGUAGCAUUGGGAACUGGGACCAAGUGCAUCGGGCGCUCGCUCCUGAGCCCGUACGGAGACGUUGUUAAUGACUCGCACGCUGAGAUUAUCGCACGAAGAGCUUUACUGAGGUUUUUCUAUGCACAGAUUCAAUGUCUUGCUCAUUUUCAUAGGAAGCAGAAUUACAUUGAUGGAAGCAACAAGUUGCAAGGUUUUGAUAUCAACGACUUGCCUUUUCAAUUAGACCCUGAUAGUCUUGGCCAAGUAAAGUACACAUUGAAGCCGGGUUGGCAAUUACAUCUUUACAUAUCACAACCACCAUGUGGGUUUGCUUCGCGCAGUUGUCUGUUGUUUCCUCCCAAAUGUAACACAUCAAGAGAAAGGGAUUCACAACCAUAUAUGGGGGACCUCAACAAUUCCAUAAGCGAACCUUGGGAGGUUUCGGUAAAGAAUAAUGGUGUUGCUUCACAACACUUUGGUUCAGUUCAGAGGAAGCCUGGUCGGGGUGAUACAACGUCAUCAGUUAGCUGCUCUGACAAGAUAGCCCGUUGGAAUGUUGUGGGAGUUCAAGGAGCGCUGCUUUCCUACUUUCUUCUGCCUGUUUACCUUUCCUCUGUUACUGUUGGAGGAUCCCCAAACAGUCCUAAAGAGUUUCAAUCAGAGGAUUGCUUGAGAAUAGCUUUAUAUGAUCGAAUCCAACCAUUGUUGAAGGAGAUAAUAAGCCCCUUUCAGGUGAACCAGCCACUAUUCUGGUCAGCCCCAAUACCACCAAAGGAGUUUCAGCAUUCUGAGACAGCAUUGAGUACCUUAACAUGCGGGUAUUCAAUAUGUUGGAAUAAGUCUGGCUUGCAUGAAGUCAUUCUUGGAACCACUGGAAGAAAGCAAGGCACCUCUGCCAAAGGAGCACUUUCUCCAUCUACAGAGUCAUUUCUAUGCAAAAAGCAAUUAUUGGAGAUUUUCUUGUCACUAGAACAUGAAUGGCAAACUGAAUACCCAGCCAACGAGAUAUCUUAUCGAGCACUCAAGGUAGCAUUUAAUUUUCUGAAUGUUACAAAUGUUAUUGAUUGGAUUUUAUGUUGUCCAGAAAUCAUGGUUGCUAUACGACUUCUUAAGAAAAAAUUUUUGGUUUCAGUUCUCCUGGAAAACUUGUGCAUUUGAAUCAUAUGAAUGUUGACCAUGCCCUAGCUUCAUCUAUUUGGUUUACUGUUUGAGGCAGCAUCUUCUGGUCAUACUCUUAGAGAUUGAAUUUUUAGCUUAAUAAAAUUCAUAGUGGACUUUUGGUGACCUUGCUAGUGGAGUAGGAUGACCCGAUACAAUAGUCGGUACUAGUACUAAGAGAUUUAUCAAUUGGGGAUAUGCGGAGACAGCAGUUGAUUUUCAAUUUUCACCUGAAACCAGUGUGAGUUUGUUUCAGUAAGUUUUCUUACCCUUUUAUCUCUCAUUGGGCAUAUCUUUAUUGUAAGAGUUAGACAUCAUUGUGGUAAAUUACUCGAUUUUUGGCAGACGGUGAAUGCUGAGAACACUAAUCAUAAAAUAUUCAUGAAUUAAUUAGCUGAUUACAAAGAAAGAUGUUUAUUGUUUAGCUUGCAAAGAAACUAUCAUUAAUGAAAAUCAAAUGGCAAAAUGUACAAGUAUGAGAGGAAGGGAGGCAAAAGCUGCAAGCAUGUGAUCAGUUUCAUAAUUUUCUGGCAACCCCUUUUGAAGAAUCCUUGAACUGGACUUCAGAUUUGGGAUGUACAAUCAAGCACUUGUAUUUAGUGAUUUGACCCACAAAAAUUAAACAAGGUGCAGGUGGUUUAGCAGUUGUAUUCAUCAGCUAUAUCUGAUGAAAAGGUGAAAAUUGGAUUUCAGUGAGCUGGUAAAAAUGGCUGAAUAUUUGUUAUCUUCUUUUAAUGGGCUUGACAUAGUAAUUCCUUUGCAGCAAAGGGCUCAAGAAUACAUGACAAUGUCAAAACUUUUUAAAGGAAGUCCACCUUUCAGCAAUUGGCUAUUAAAACCAGUUGACACUGAGGCCUACUCCAUUUUCAGAUAGUGAGGCAUAUUACCCAUUCUUCAUCCAAAGUGAAAGACGGUAAAUAGAUGAACAGCAAGUGCAUGACGAGCUUUCAUGGAGGAAAGUCAAUAUUUAAUGAAACAGCAGUUUUGGGCCACUUAGAGAAUGGAAGCAACGUCUUAAGUGCCUUUAAAGUCAUGAUCAAUCGAGAGAACAGCCAUUGCUUAUGCUGUCACUGCAGCUCUUAUGGUUCAUUGAUUAGUAUGAAUGGGGUGAACGUUCCUCCAUUGUAGCUGAGCUGUGCCAUCAACCCAUGUUGUUGGCACGCCUAGAGUUGGGAAAAGUAUUGGGAACUUUUGAUUGCUCAGCCAAAUGUAAUCAUUUUGAUCUUUUAUUAAUUAGUUUGUCAAUAGAAAUGCCCCAAGUUUAGAGAUGGUUACAAAUCAUAAGGUUCGUUUGUUAAUAGUGCUACUAUAAAUCCAAUUCUUAAUUUUCAGAUAUAAUCUGAUCUUGGCACAUUCUGGAUAUCAAUAGGGCAAGUGAAAAAUAUGGCUGCUCCUUGACAGAAGCCAUUGUUGGUUACUAGCUUGUGUUGUAAUAAACUAUUUGUAUCAACUGCACGAUGGAUUUUACAUAAUUAGUUCGUUAUAUUAUGCAAUACACAUGCUACACUUUAUACAAAA